AGAGAUCAACCCCAAGUUUAGAAUCUGUAAGGGUUCUACCACCUGGUAUCAGAGCAGCGUUCUUGGCAUCUCGCUGCCCUUCCACUGCCAUCCAUCAGCCCUCCACAACCGCCCAAAGCAAUUCCCACAAUUGCUUAAAAGAUCGUCGCCAAAUUCCACCGUCAUCUCCACCACCGCAGAUCAUCCUUUGAUCUCCCUGUGAAUUGCA
rnacentral:lncRNA from 1 species